rnacentral:rRNA from 2 species
CCUACGGGCGGCUGCAGUGGGGAAUAUUGCACAAUGGGCGAAAGCCUGAUGCAGCAACGCCGCGUGAAGGAUGAAGGCUUUCGGGUCGUAAACUUCUGUCCUUGGGGAAGAAAAAAAUGACGGUACCCAUGGAGGAAGCCCCGGCUAACUACGUGCCAGCAGCCGCGGUAAUACGUAGGGGGCGAGCGUUAUCCGGAAUUAUUGGGCGUAAAGAGUGCGUAGGUGGUUACCUAAGCGCAGGGUUUAAGGCAAUGGCUCAACCAUUGUUCGCCUUGCGAACUGGGCUACUUGAGUGCAGGAGAGGAAAGCGGAAUUCCUAGUGUAGCGGUGAAAUGCGUAGAUAUUAGGAGGAACACCAGUGGCGAAGGCGGCUUUCUGGACUGUAACUGACACUGAGGCACGAAAGCGUGGGGAGCAAACAGGAUUAGAUACCCCAGUAGUC